rnacentral:rRNA from 1 species
CCGAUAGCGUAUAUUAAAGUUGUUGCAGUUAAAAAGCUCGUAGUUGAAUUUCGGGGUUAGUAGGUUGGUCAUGCCUCUGGUAUGUACUGGUCUCACUGAUUCCUCCUUCCUGAUGAACUGUAAUGCCAUUAAUUUGGUGUUGCGGGGAAUUUGGACUGUUACUUUGAAAAAAUUAGAGUGUUUAAAGCAAGCUAACGCUUGAAUACAUUAGCAUGGAAUAAUGAAAUAGGACGUUCGAUCCUAUUUUGUUGGUUUCUAGGAUUGACGUAAUGAUUAAUAGGGAUAGUUGGGGGCAUUAGUAUUCAAUUGUCAGAGGUGAAAUUCUUGGAUUUAUUGAAGACUAACUACUGCGAAAGCAUUUGCCAAGGAUGUUUUCAUUAAUCAAGAACGAAAGUUAGGGGAUCGAAGACGAUCAGAUACCGUCGUAGUCUUAACCAUAAACUAUGCCGACUAGGGAUCGGAUGAUGUUAAUUUUUUAAUGACUCAUUCGGCGCCUUACG